rnacentral:rRNA from 1 species
AUUGAACGCUGGCGGCAUGCCCUACACAUGCAAGUCGAACGGCAGCACGGACUUCGGUCUGGUGGCGAGUGGCGAACGGGUGAGUAAUACAUCGGAACGUGCCCAGUAAUGGGGGAUAACGCAGCGAAAGUUGUGCUAAUACCGCAUACGCCCUGAGGGGGAAAGUGGGGGAUCGCAAGACCUCAUGUUAUUGGAGCGGCCGAUGGCUGAUUAGCUAGUUGGUGAGGUAAAGGCUCACCAAGGCGACGAUCAGUAGCUGGUCUGAGAGGACGACCAGCCACACUGGGACUGAGACACGGCCCAGACUCCUACGGGAGGCAGCAGUGGGGAAUUUUGGACAAUGGGCGAAAGCCUGAUCCAGCAAUGCCGCGUGUGCGAAGAAGGCCUUCGGGCUGUAAAGCACUUUUGUCAGGGAAGAAAACUGUUUGGCUAAUACCCGAGUAGGAUGACGGUACCGGAAGAAUAAGCACCGGCUAACUACGUGCCAGCCGCCGCCGUAA